rnacentral:rRNA from 1 species
UACGUAGGGGGCUAGCGUUGUCCGGAUUUAUUGGGCGUAAAGAGCGUGUAGGCGGCCAGAUAGGUCUGCUGUGAAAACUCGAGGCUCAACCUCGAGCCGUCGGCGGAAACCAUCUGGCUAGAGACCGGAAGAGGAGAGUGGAAUUCCCGGUGUAGCGGUGAAAUGCGCAGAUAUCGGGAAGAACACCUGUGGCGAAGGCGGCUCUCUGGGACGGUACUGACGCUGAGACGCGAAAGCGUGGGGAGCAAACAGG